UGGAAAUGCAGAAAUCACCCAUCUUCUGAGUCGCUCACGCUGGGAGCUGUAGACCGGAGCUGUUCCUAUUCGGCCAUCUUGGCUCCUCCCCUGACAUGAAGAGCACAAAAUUUUAAUACUCUUGCAGACAAUUCUGUUGAAUCUGCAUGAUUAUGGCAGAAUUUGUUACAAGACAAAAACUGAAAAAAACUUCCAAGUUUACAAAUAUUUUGGAAAUGUAAGGAGAUAGAUAAGAUUCGAAAGUUACAAUUUCUAUUGAAAACGUCAGUGCUCUAAAUUAUGGCACACAAGAUUUGAAUGAAUCAUAGAGUAGCCAAAUCAUGUAUCCAGAUCUUCUGGAAGACCUGUGGCAGUCUAUUGAAGAAGUGAGCAGUAGAAUAUGAACUCAAAGUCUGAAAUUUGGAAUGCCAGAUAAAGCUGGAUAAAGAUAAUGGAUUUAAAGAUUGAACACAAAGUCAUACAAAGGAACAAGGAAAUGAAUGGAAAGAAAGAGAAAAUCUAAUUCUUGUCAAGAGAGUCUUCACUAUGCAUAAAAUUACUUAAUAGAAGUAACAAAUAAAAAAAAAGAAUUCUAACUUUGGUCCCAGGCGCAUAUUUACUGUAAAACAAACUCUAAUUCAGUUUUUCACAACCAUGAUCAGCUAGUACAUGUCUUGCGUGUCUGGUGUCUCUUGCUGUGCAUGUUGGAAUUAUUGCGUAUAGAACUUACUGCACUGUACUUGGUCGAUUUUACUACUACUUGAAGAGGAUUAAAACAAAACAUGGUUAAUUUUCUCUAUAUCCCAAAUUUCUUUCAAAAUAUGGCCAAAAAGUCAAAACCUAGUUACAACUUCAUUUCCUUGUUUAAUCCCACACAGCUUUACCAAAACUACUUUGAGACGAAUUUCUUAGGCCAUCUCAACUCUAAAACUAUGUUUAUACAAGAGGUUUCAGCAAAUUUUUCAGACCCUUAUCUCAUGGGUAUCCAGGAGUGGAAUCCAGUUCAAUUUAAAAAGAACUUCCAGCUUUCAUUAAUUGCGUGAAAUUUUACCAAAACAAACAAAAUAUAAACAAGCAAACAACAAGCCAAUAAUUGGUCCUGAACAGUGGUUUGGUAAUUCCCCUAUUAAAGAUGAGAUAAAGAAAGAAAUUCAAAGAGAAUGCUAUAAUUGGGAUUAACAUGCUUAAAAAUUCCCCUUGCCCCUCAGUAAAUCUAUUAAAAGAAAAUUAAAUGGAGUGCAAACACAACUAAAAAGCAAAAGUUGGAUCCUUUUUUUUUUUUUUUAAUUCACUAAGGCAAGGACUUAGUGUUCUCUCUGAAUAAAUGUACUUGCUCAAUAUCUCAGGAUAUCUCACAGUAUAUUAAAUGCUUUGCUUGUUACAAAUUGAGAGUUGGUAAGUUUAAAACAGCAAAGGCAUAUUCUACUUUAUUUUUCCUUAUAACAACAUGACUGAUGGCAAUUUUCACCCAGAGUAAUGUUACUGAAAAAGACAACACGUGCAUAAAUAGAAUGCAUAGUUUUCAUUACUUUUUUUUUCCUGCAGAUAAGCAUAAGAGAGCAGAAAGAAAAAGCAUCAUGUAAAAAAAGAAAAGAUAAUCAAGGGAAAAUAGAGUUUGAUGCACAUUGAAGCAAAAUACCAGAUAGGAAAAAAAGAGGCAGUAAAUUAUUCAGAAACGAGAGGCAAAAAGAUUGUGUGAUAUUUACUAAAGAAUAAAAUGUGAAUGAUAGAUUAGGAAGAAAUAAGAAAAAUAAGACAAAAAUCAAAUCAAAUAAAAACGUAUUGGCAACAACGUGGCAACAAUAAAAAGUUGCUAGUAAUGUGGUCAGUGGGGCCACCAUGGUUAGUUUUAAACUUUGGCUCCAUCUGUGCCUCAAUUUCCGAACUUAAAAAGUGGGUAUAAUAGAGAUAAUGUAAAGACAAAAUGCAAUAAUUAUUUUGAAGGGCUCACAAUAUUAUAUAAUUUACGGUAGCCAUUACAUAAGUAAAAUGCAUCAUUAGUAGUACUAUAUUUAUAGCAUGUUUAACACAUUACAAAAUGUUUUCAAAAACUUUAGCUCAUUUGAACUUUAAGAAAACUUUGAAUAAAGUCAAGGUGGAUAUCAAUAUCCUCAUUUUGCUCAUUAGGAGAAUGAAGCUCAGUAAGUUACUCAGUGUGUAUAAGCUCACAAAGUUACCACCUGGUAGAACUAGAACUUCAAGUCAGGUAUUUGAUUUCAUAGUUUAGUAUCUUAUUUUUGUCUUUUGGGGGGAAGAAAAGUACCCACUAGCCAUUUGCCUAAAAGAAAACCACAAAAGAUGUUAUUACUAUUUUAAAAAUUAUAUUUGAGACACACUAUUACUUAUUUAUGAACUUAAUUUAUAAUUAUUUAUUGAGAAUUUAUAUGUAUCAGACAUAUAUUCUAGGUGCUUGGGAUACAUUACUGAAUAAAAGUAAAACCCACGCCUUUAUAAAAUUUAUAACCUAGAUGGAGGAUAUUGACCAUAUUAAUAAACAUUAGAAUAAGUAAUUGAUGUAGUGUGAUAAAGAGGACAAGUGCUAUGGUUAGACCAGGGAAGAGGAGGAUCAGGAGUAUAGAGUGGUAGUCCAAUUGCAAAUGUAGUAGCUUUUAAUAGAUAUUAUAAUUUAUAAUAACAAUUUUUUAAAGAAAUCUAAGCCUCAGAACACAUUUAAAAUAUUAAGGGAUUUUUCACUGUUUAUUAGCAUCAAAUAUUUUAAAAUAGUUAUAUAAAUAUUAUUUCCCAAUUAUUUAAGGCAUAAAAGUAAAAGGCCGAUAUAAUGAUGUACUAAUUAAACAGAUAUUUGUAUCUUUAUCUAUAUGUCUAUUACAAUCUUGACAGAUAAAAGAACAACUUCCUUAUUAUAUCAGAGCUCUUACGAAUAAUAAUAUGGGCAAAGAAAAUAGGCAAAUAAAUAGGUAAAAGAGUAAAAGACAAAGUAGGCAAAAUAGUUCACAGUAAAGGAAAUAGCCAAGAUUAUAUUCUUAAAAAUCACUCUCAUUAAUGAAAUAUAAAACAGAAUGAGUUAUGUGAAGCCAUCUCACCUAAAAGAUUGGCACAAAUUAAGAACGUUGACAACACUCAAAGCAUGUAAGCGUAUAGGGAAAACAGUCUUUACAACUGAAAACUGAGAUGGCUUUUCUGAAAGAUGAAUUGGUUGUAGUUAUGAAAAGUGAAAAGCACAUUUUGACCAAACGGGGUCAUAUCUCAAUAUUAAACUACAGAAAACCUUAUAUGAGUAUGCACCAUUUGAUGUAUGUGGUAGGUAGAGUUUUCACAUGGCCUCGAAGAUUCCUAAUCCCUAGUGUUCAUACAUUUCUUACAGUCAUUCAAUUAAACACUAAUCUGGGCACUACUGUGAAGUGAUUUACAGAUGUAAUUAAAGUUAUAAUUUAGAUGACCUUCAAGUAGCGAAAUUACUUGGCUGGGCUUGAUUGAAUCACAUGAGCCCUUUACAAGCAGAGAGAUGGUUCUGGAUAAUGGCAGGAAAAGGAAGUCAAAGAGCUGUGAUCUGGCUUGCCUGACCAAAGCAAACAUUCAUUCUGCACACUGCCUAGAAGGACCACAUGGCAAGGAACUGCAGGUGUUCUCUAGGACUGAGUGGUCCCCAGACAACGACUAGCAGAUCAAUGAGGAUUUUGGUCCUACGACCUGAAGGGAAUGAACUCUGCCAACAAUCAGUAACCUUGAAAGAGGAUCCUAAGCUUCAGAUGGGAACACAGCCUGGCCAACACAGCAUUGAUUUCAGCCUGGUGAGACCCUGAGCAGAGAAUCCAAUCAUGCAGUAGAUUCUAACCUACAGAACUAUGUACUAAGGCUAUUUUAAGCCACGAAGUUUGUGAUUAUUUAUUAUGCCACAAGAGAAAACUGAUGCAAUGUAUAAGAAUGCUUAUGUCUUUAUUACUUGGCAAUAAUAAAAGUCUGAAAAAACCUGCUGAUGAAUGGGUGAAGGAAGUUAGGGAGUAAGAGGUGAUUUCUAUUUUUCACUACAUGAUAAUAACAACAUUAAGUUAGUUGAUGAAAUAAUGAAAGUAGCAUAAAAUAUCUUUUGGUUUUAUUUGCCUUCUCUUCACCCAUUGUGAGGCCUUGAGUCCCAUCCAAGGGUUUUAGAGAUGGCCAAACACAUGACACUUGACCCUGGACGGAUCACUUUGACAGCAGUUUAUUAGUCACAUAAACUCACAGCCUGGGGGAGAAGAAUGCUAUACACCAUGCAGGGCCAAAAGGGCUUGCAUUCCAGAGCAGAGUGAACAGGCAGAAGCUACGAGUGGCAAGCUUCAAGUAAGAAGCAAUUGGGUGACUCCUGGUUCCUGUGAGAGGAUGUAAUUGGCUUGUUUGAAUACUUCUGUAGUCUGGCAGGGAAGUUAGGUUUGGAAUCAGCUGGAGUAGCUCAUCUAGGCGAUAGAACUAGCCAGGUGUGGGCGAGAAGUCUUUUCUAUUGUGUGGAUGGCAUAUUUUUUGAGAGCAGGGGAGCUGGUCGGUUGCCCUUUGGGGAUCUGUGAGGCUCAAAUUUAUCAAGGAAGCUCUUAAUAUUGCAUCUUAAUGUCAGGCCUUCUAUUGUACUUCCCAAAUUUAUUUCUACAUGAAAUACCA
rnacentral:lncRNA from 10 species